GUAAUCGACUGUUACUACACCUCCCAGCAUGCGUCACAGCUCAGCAUCCGUCGCAGCUCUGAUGUCACCAGAAUUAAGAAAAACCUGUGGAAACAAACCCUUAACUGCCAUUUCCAGUCGUAGUAUCACGAGACUACGUUCGGACACACAUCUCAGGAAAAACUGAAGCUCAUGGGAGGGUUUGCUUUCCUCCACACCGGCCAUUCCCGGAAGAGCUUGAAAGCUGGAAAUCUGUCUGAUACAUGAAGAUCAGAAGAUCCAUAUCUUGAUGGAAGAUCAUCAGACGUGACCCAGGCACAGGCGAAAACCCACAGAGGUUUUGUUUCCAAGGAGACAAGUUUCCUCCUUAUUUUCCAGUUGACUGCAACGGUUCCUCAUUUUUUUUCCAUUUUGGACGGAGGAGAAGUUGAACGUUUUUGAGCUCGUCAUGGACGCAUGAGACCCUGGUUCCCCCGUGUUUUUCUUCAGACCCCCGAUCCAUCCUCAAGCCGGUGAAGAGAAAAAAUCUACGUCAAAGGCAGAAGGUUUUCAUCUGGCUGUGGUGAUGUCCUUAUUUCCGUCAAUGUUUCUGCACAAGGUCACAGCUUUAUUCAACUAAGAGGCAGACAGAGCAGCAGCACAGUCGGUUCCCUGAAGCCCUCCAGCAAAGAAAAACACAUGAAACUCAGGUUGAGCUGGAGAGCAUCAUAGGGUACAAGAUGUUGAGGUUUCCGAUUAGGAAAAAUCUGAUCUGCAGCGUCUGGGACAUUCUUCUAUGAAGGAAUGGAACAUCCCAAACCUGAAAGAUAAGGGGCCACCACACAGCUCCAGUCUGAGCAGGGAGUCAACAGCCAAAUCAUCUGGGCGACAGCUGUUGUCUGUGACUAUAACGUUUAAGCUCUUCCUCCAAGGCCUCUUCCCACUAAAAUGGUUGACAUAUACGUGCCGUUUCUCAGACCUGCCAGUGUUGUUAGAGCUCUCAGUGUUUAAGGUCAACAGAGAAAACUGUGAUGCUGCACGGCAUCAUCAGAGCAGCAACGUGAGAAGCUGUGAGUCCCACAUAGGCAGCGUGCGAGAGGAGUUGACUUUAAAAGGAGAAGGCUUAAUGUGAGAUGACCUCAAAUGAUUUUUCUACAAUACAAUGUCCAGCGGCUUUUCUAAAAGAACAUAAAUUACAUUUUUUAUGAAAUCAAUAGAAACUCUGUAACUACAGUAUGUUAAGCUUGUAGCAACAAAAUAAAUACUAGGACAUGUAAAUCAUUUACAUUUGAUACAGUCUAGGAUCUGAACUUUCAUUGUGAAAUGCAUCUUUGUCAGCUUUAUGAAUCAAAGUUACUUAGAAUAUAAAAUAAGCCUGUUUUGUCUGUGUUUUGUAGUGUUUAUUUCAUUCACCAUUUGUUGGAUUUUGAUUCACUUCACAUGAUGGCUAAGUAUUUGCAAAUUAAAAUAUUUCAACAAAGUUUAUUUUGACAACUGGAAAACAUGCCUCAUCUCACUUAACUGUGGUUGUGUUUUUAUCUAACAAAACUGCAUGUAUUUUGGAUUUGAUUGAAAAACUAUGAAACAUUUUUUUUUUUAUAAAUUGUCCAACUCACCAAUUUGAGCUAGUAUUUUUAGCAAGUUAUUACCAAGUUAAAAGAAAGGAUUUGUUUUGUAUUGUUUUUGUGUGCUGAUUCUCAUAAUUAUAAUUUAAUGCAAUAAAAAAACUAACAAUUUUCCUUCUGGAUAGCUAUCUAGCGUUUAACAAAGUCAGUGCUUAACAUCUAGCACAAGUAUAGUUUUGCAUUUAAUAUUUAGCACAGUUAAUGUUUAGUGAAUAGUAUUUAGCAAAGUUAGAUUCUCGCUGUAAACACAGGAAGAAUUUAGCUUCUAGUAUUUCCCAGAGUUUGUCAAACAAGUCUAGUUGUAGACAAUCUAACAUUUAACAGGGUUUGUUUAGCAACUAGCAUUAAUCAGUCACAUCUAACACUCAGCAUUGUUAGAGUGUCGCACCUAGGUUUUAGCACUGUUAACAUUUUGCAUCUUGCAAUUACCAAAGUUAGUCAGUGGCAUCUAGUUGUAGAACAUUUUUAGAAUGUCCGAGUACAGUGCCUGUUUAACAUCUAGCAUUAAUCAGUUAACAUUUAGCAUCUAGGCCUGUGAAGCCUGCAUAAUUUAGCACAGUUAGCUUUUAGCAUCUAACAUAAAGAACAGUAAGCAUCUUGCAUUUACUUUGUUUGUUGAAGAGAAUGUUGCAGUAGAAUAUUUGGAGAAUCUGUCAUGAUUUGAGAGUGUUUGGAGUUUUUAUUUAGAAUUUUUUCUCUGCUUCUGAUUAUGUUCUACAGGUUGUGUUUUGGAUCUUGCUUCUGUUCAUUGUUUUCCAGGUGGUGCUUUAUUUCUUUCCUUAGGUUUAGUUUCUUAUGAUCCUUGUAUUUUGUUCAUAGUGCAUUUUUGGUUUUGUUCCGUUAUAUCUGUAAGAUGUUCCUUAGAUUUGAAUAUGUCCUUGUAUUCCUGUUUAGUUUCAGCUUUUUGUUUUCACUCUAGCCACAGCUUGCAAUCUGCUUCAUUCAGUCCACCUGCUACUUUUAAUCAGUCUCACUGCUUUCACCUUCGCGAUGGUCUAUAUAUACUCUUCAGUUCUGUUUGUUCCUUGCUGGUUUUUACUUCUGUUCAUGCCAAGCCUGACCAUGUUUGUUUCUGCAUCUGCUACCAUCUGCCUGUCUGAGAAAGAUCCCAGAGUUGGACCAUGACAAGAGUGGGAUGAGAUUGAAAGCACAGGUACAGGGUGGCCGGACUCGCGGCCCAACAUCGUAGAGUUGGCCCACCAUAAGAGUGGCCAUUUCAACUGGCUCACUUUGAUGUAGAGCAGCAGGAGCUCUACUCUAAGCUCCCAUAAAGGACACAGCACCAGCGAGCAGAAGCACGUGAAGUGCAAAUCGUUUGAAAUUGCUGAACUUUAUGGAUGUGUUUGCUCUGUCUCUCCAUUGGUGCUGUUUGAUUUGAGAAUAAGACACUGAGAUGUAACACAAUGCAUGUUUAAAAGAUGAAAUGUUGAACAAUAGGGAUAAUUAACAUGGAAGCAAAAAUUAAGAUUAAGACACACAAAGCAGCAGGUGUGAUGAAAACGUAGCUCUGCACAUAUUUCUAAAAAAUGUUAAAUUAGUUGGAAUUCAAAUAGACAGAUGCACAAAGCUGCAGCUAGAAUUUACAGAAGAGUUGCAGUUGAAACAUUGUUUUAACCUUGUUGGAGAUUCAUUUAGCUGUUCCAGCUGCAAGCCUUGUCCUCAGUUUGAACUUGACACUCGUUUCAUGAAUCAAUCUGAACUGCAGGGUUAUCUGGCAUACCUGUGGGCAUUAAUCUGUGUGUGAGUGUGCGUUAAAGAGGUGGGGUUAAGACCAACCAGGAAGGUAUUUACUCCUGAUUGAUUCAUUUGGAUUUAAUUCACCCUGCAGCAUAAACAGUCCAGUAUUGCCUCUCUCUGUCUUUUCUGCAUUUUUUACCUGCACAAAUGGACUUUUACAAGUUCCUCUGUAGUUUUAUACUUUUUUGUCGAUGUAGUCUCUCAUUUGUACUGAAGAAUUUAAGCAUAAACCUUAAGAACAACUAGUAUUUUAUGUUAAAGAACUUCAGAGAUUAAACUUGCUGCCUACUGCGGAGUCAGUUACAGUAAACUAAUGAAGCCUAAAAUGCAGAUUGCACUUUCCUCAUCUUCUCUUGCUCAUGCUGAGAGCAAUUAGUGAGCAGAAGAAGCAAAUAAAAAAAACAGCUUCAAUUAAAAUGUAUUUAUGAAUUCACUUUGUACAAUUUUGCAUAAAGCUUGUAGUUUAUUUUCAAGUGUGUUGUAAAACAGGUGUUGAUAGGAAAGAAGUAUUUUGUAAAUUCAUAAAAUUUAUGAAAACAGUCAUUUCCU